GCGAGUUUGACCGAGUGGUUAAGGUGUUGUGUUUAGGCCGCAAUGUGCAUCGCACGCGUAGGUUCGAUCCCUACAGCUCGCA
rnacentral:tRNA from 1 species